rnacentral:lncRNA from 1 species
CAGGAACUGGCACACAGCACUUUUCGGGGUGCACAAAAAUGUUUUAAUUUUAAUUUCUUUUAAAAUAUGAAGAAAAAUUGAGUAUAAUAGUAAUGAAUACAUAAUGAUAGAUCCAGCAGAGAUUAUACUUGUCUUACACCAAUGAGGUUGUCAAAUAUUUUUAAUUUUUUUUGAUGCAGGAAGGAGCUCACAAAGACCAAAAUGCCUGAGGCCUGUGGAAGUCACAGUCUGUCCCUACGGAGCGGAUCAGGCACAGGACAUGUCCCUGGAUCAAAUGACACUCGUGGUCGGCCACCUCCCAGGUCCCAUUGCUCAGACGUGUAGCAGUGACAGUGAACAGGGCAAUACUCGGACCUUCCUGCCAGCAAUAUCAAAUAACAAGAGGCUGAGUGACUCCCUGUGCGAGCAUGAAAGGACAAAUGGCGAAGGAAGCAGCACCGCUCUGCUGAGAAAAUCUCUGUCUUUGAUACAUCUCCUCAACUCACACAUCAAAUGGGCUCACACCCUCUUGGGUCCUUGAGUUAUUUUCUAAUCUCUAAAGUUUUGAAAACAAACAAAAAACCCUAAACAAACCCAAAAACAUUCC